rnacentral:misc_RNA from 1 species
NNNNNNNNNUUUUUCAUGAACCAAUCUUCUUUUACCUCCCGUUCUAUUCAAGAUCGACAGCUAAUAUUGCUUAUUUGUCUCUAAUAUAUUUCAGCGUAUAAUAUAUUAGUUGAACACAUAUACUCUGCCUCUUCUCUCUUUCUCUCCCCUAAGCUUUUUUUCCACUUAUCCUAUAUACUUCGAAUGCCUUCCGGUCAUUUUCAACAUAUUCGCCGCACAGUCAACUAAAUUAUUACAUAGUACCUAUACGCAAUGUAGAGUACUAUAGAUGGCGUUACAUGGAAAGGGGUAGAAGAAGAAGAAGAAGAAGAACCAGAAGGAGGAGGAGAAGAAGGGCAAAGAGGGAGAAGAGGAGGAAAGAGAAAAAGAUAAAAGAGAAAAUUGCAAGACGAGAAACUGUAAAAAGUGUGAAAUUGAUAUAUAAAAAAGUAGAAGAAGAGGGACACGUUGUUAAUAGUUAAAUUAGAAAUUUGGUUCAUGUCUUUCCAAUUUCCUUUUCUACUUUUAGAAAAAAAGUUGCCACCUCUGAUUGAUUCUAAAUUUGAGUUUUUUUCUUCUUCUCUUUUUCUUCAUAGACGCUAUUUUUUUAAUUGCUCUACUUCUUGCUUUCUAAGCUUUCUUUCUUUCUUUCUCUUUCUCUUUUCCGUUUCCUUUCAACGCCUUUAUAUUUUCAAUUGUCCCUGUUUCGCUCUCAUUUUUUAUACUAAUUUUUAAAGCUCGUAAGAUAGAUGACUCUUUUCGGCAUAAAUCCUUCAUUUAGCUAAUGAAGAGACGCUUGUUUUAUACGCCUCCUAAACAUAAAUACUAGCGUCGAUACAUUUCCCCCUACCGUAUAUUUAUCAUUUCAAUUUGUUACGUCAUCCACUCAUUGCUCUUCUUUAUCUCUUAUUUAAUUGCUAAUUUGGUUCUUAGUUUUAAUUAAACAAUUCCAUCUAACCAUCUAACCUCCCUGUCUGCCUGUCUGCCUAUCUGCUAGCUUCUCUCUUUCUCUCCUAGUCUAUCUUCAACAGCACACCCCUGCCUCUCUCUCUCUCUCUCUCUCUCUCUGCCUUUAACCUCUUCUCUACUCCCAUCUGUCAUUUUUAUCCAUCAUUCACCGUAUGAAUUAUAUUAAUGUGAAGGAAAAAUGUUCGGGGCGAUCCUCAAUCAACUUCUGUCUAAUCUAACGCCGUAUUUAGGUGCGAAGCGCAAGAUCCCCAUUCUCAAGGCCUAUUCGCAGGGAAACACCAGUAGAACUAUAAGAGACAUCUAGCGGAACUGUAAAGCGCAAUUUUACGUUGCCUUUCGAAUUAUUAAACGCUUCUGUUCGGGCGUCACUCGACAGAAUUUGUUGUAUUAAAAAUCGAUUCUCUGGAUAAACAAAUCGUUUUGUUAUUUUGGAUGUCGUUAGAAGAUUAGAGAAGAAAGCCAUGACUAAUGGCGUCGUUUCGUCGCAGCGUUUCGUGCCUAAGUCAGAAGGCUAGCCGUAAUUCCCCAGAAGAAAUAGCUCUGGUUGAAAGACCUACAAUUAAUGGACACGUGAAAUUGUCGGAAAGCGACCAGUUCGGUUCAGUUGGCUUCGUCGAUUUUUGGCCCUUAACCGUCAAAAAAGCUGUUAAAGCGUCCUGCGCAACUUUCGAACAGUUCGAGGUUCUCGUGGAAAGAGCCAACGAAUGGCUAGAGGAAAAUGACGAUUUCGAAUUGAUCAAUUGCGAAAGUUUGGAUAAAAAAGUCAUAUAUGUCGCCGAUGUUUACAGUCAGUCGUUAAUUUAUGCCGACGAGGACGCCAACACGCACGCUGUUCACAUUAUCGGAUUAAGAUUAUGGUACUGCAAACGUUUAUCGUCUAACGAUACGAAAAAUGACCGUCUUCAAUUGGAUUUCAUCGAUAUUCUACCGUUUUAUUUAAAUCCUGGAGAAAAAGAGCCGCGUUUUGAAAGCGUCUCUUCAACGGUUGAUCGAAUUAAUGCUACUUUGAGGCAUACCCCGCUUCAAGGCAGAAUAUUAAGCAUCGUUUCCGUAAACUUAACACUCGCCGAAGAUAUUUGGGCAAGCGGAGCGCAAAUAAACACUUGCCAAACCCGCUGGUUCGAUGAAUUUAACACUCAUAACCUAAUUUUCAUACGCAUCUUCUUCCUCGUUGGUCCUCCUUGCCACGAAUUGAUAGGUUUGAAAGAUUUUUCACCAAGGAUAAUCAAAUCUGGUAAUGUUUUUCAACCUGCUCAAUAUUCAACAAUUAGUGAAUUGGUCAGCAUGAUACAAGAUUGGAUUCGUAUGGUUGGAGGUAACAAUGUAUGUUGUUUCUUUUUUACUUAUUUACAUCUCUUCUAAUUAAAUAUUUUUACAUCUCAUUCUCUUUUUAUCGAAUUUAAUUAAAUAUCUCUUUUUUUCUCCCCCUUCCCUCCCUCCUGCCUCUCUUCAUCAUCAUCAUCAUCAUUCUUCUCCUCCGACUACUACAUCUGCUGCUCCUCUUCUUCUUCUUCUCCUUUAUCUGCUUGAAUAUCUCUUUUACAUGCUUUCUCUUUCUCCACUCAAUUGUCAAUUGACCUCCCCACCUACCCGCCUUUCGCUCCUCUCUCCUCACCUUUUAUCGUACAGGAUAUCAGAAUUACAAAUGUACAGACAUUAUCUGCAAUUCAUAAAUGCAAAAAACAUUCGAAAAGGGGAUCAUGGAACACAGACUCUUCCUUUGAAUAUAAAAUUGACGAUCGCUUUCACAGCGUCUUCCUUCGAGUAGGCUAUGCAAAACCGGCAGAACUUUACAACGAUUUUACAUUUCCAAUAUAUUUACCUAAUGUUACUGUGAAAAUGUUUGUUCCAUGGAGAAAAAAGAACCGGUUAAUUGCCUUUUUUUAUUAUUAUUUAUUCAAUUAUUUAUUACUAUCCAACGUUCACAAUUUGGCUUAUUCUCUUCCAUAUUUUCUUGUCAAUUAGUUACGAAAGUCUAAAGGAGGUUAGGGAAAGGAUGGAAAAGUUCCUCAAGUGCUGUCAGGCUAGAAUUUUCUAUAUAGAAACUGUUCAAAUUCCCGAAUGGAUGACCAGAAAGGAAUUCUACGAAAGAGGAGAACGAACCUUUUUCGACGGGCAUUGGUAUUUUAUUCCUGAUAAAUAUGGGAAUGCUCAGGGACCUUUCCGAUAUCCUCUCAUCUACGCUAUAAGGUUCGCUUUUAAUUAAAUAAUCAAACAAGAUUUCGCCCCCACCAGAGAACGGUGACGAUCGUGAGAAAUUUUGUCAAGUUAAUCGCCUCUCUUCCUCCUUCACAGAGUCUACAUCGACGGCGACUUUAACCAGCUAGGAAAUUACGUAAGCGAGACGUCAUUUUUGGAAAGACCCGAAAAUUGUUGUUCUGCUUGCACAAUUUGCUGAGAAGACUUGAAAAAGAGAAAAUAUAAGAAUAACCAUUAUGGAAAGAGAAGAAAGAGAUAGAAAGAAACAAAGAUAGAAAGAAUAAUAUCACGAUUGAUUGAAUGAACGAACGAACGAACGAACGAACGUACGAACGUACAAACAAACGAAACGAACUAACCAUUGAUUGAAUUGAUUGAUUGAAUGAAUGAAUGAAUGAACGAACGAACAAACUAAAGAACGAAUGAUAAGAAUAUUUUGCUUUUAAAAGAAAGAAGGUAAAAAACUUUGUUUUUCACUGGCAGAUGAUAGAAAAAAACCAAAAAAAAGAGAAAACUGAUAUCGAAGAGAGAAACGAAAAAGAAGAUAUUCAAUCUUUUUAAAAGUUGAUCAUCAGAUUUUUUUUUUGUUACCGAAAGAAAACAAAACUGCUACCCUGUGUGCGUUAGCGAAUAAACGUAUAAAUAACCCGGUAUUCUUUGUGCGUAUACAUUUAUGGUAUUUAUCGUAUCUCUUUUAUUCUAUAUCUUUCUCAAUGUAAUAUACAGUAUAUACUGUAUGUAAUGUGUAUACUGUAUAUGUGUAUACAGUCUGCUGUAUUUUUAUACUUUUUACGGAUAUACGUUUAUUAUCCUUCACUGAAAAAAUAAGCUGGCUAAAACUCUUUAAAUUGAACAUGAACUGAGCUUCUCUCUCUCUCUCUCU